rnacentral:tRNA from 1 species
GGUUAAAAAAAUUUGGGAUGUUGCAAGCAUUUCUGUUGGUAACUUUAUAGUUGUCUUUAACCU